rnacentral:misc_RNA from 1 species
GCCAGUAUCAUUGCCUAGGUUGCGUGGAUCUGGUAAAAAGAAAUCUAGAUGCAUUUGUAUUCUCCGUAUCCAGUUCAGCGUGGAUAAACUGGAAAUUUCCCAAAGAAAAUGUGAAAUGGCGCACUGCUGGCUCGAAGAGAGGAUUUUCCCUACCAGCCAAGUCGACUUUUGACAGCCAGCAUUCUAUCUGUGGUGUCCUUCUUUACACCAGCGUGACAAAAUCGAACCAAAAUGAUUGUCGCCUGGUCUCGAGUCGUUGUGUGAAACUGAUUCCUUCUGUCUAUCCUGCCUUUGUAGUCAACCAAACCGAUGAAAUCCUUUACCACCACAUCUGCGUAAACAAAGCUGACUUGUUUCAGUUCUCUCGCUACUGUUUCUUUCACUCAGUGUUCAGAACUUAAUGCGUAAAAGCUUUACUCAGACUGCGUCCUUGAACUACUUAGACGUAAUGCUUGGUUCUUUGAAAAGUGAUUUUGUGUCAACUUGCCUAAUGUACAGCGACAUUUCAAAGAAUGUUGGAGGACAGGGUGCGAGAUUGUCCGAUAUCAGUCGAUGCAGUACGAGGUUUCACAGCACCUUCGGGGACAAGACUGGGGCUUGUUCAUUGGUGCUUGUGGCCAUCACGAAGCGAGCUGAACUGAAUCGGUCCACAGUAUUUUAUAGUGCACAGAGAGUUGAUGUGAAUAGGGGCGUACCCAAACCGUUGGAUGUUUGUCUCAAAGAGUGAUGGCUUUUAUGUUGCGCCUCUUUGCUUUGGCUUUCCUAAUUCACUGGUGUCUUGAUUUAGGAAUAGCUGCCGUGACAUUUGUAUGUGUGCUCACCUUUGUGCUAGAAGGCGAUGUACACUGCGUACCACCCUUAGCACAAAUGCAACAUUGUAACUUAUUUUGCAUCUUACCUCGACAGUAUUUAUUGGCAGCCAUAAAAUUUUAUUUAGUGCUUCAAAUGGACACUUUUCAUAGCGGUAGUAAUUUUGACGGAGGCUUUUUAAUUCUAAAAGAAACGGCGACGGCUCAUUUGUGCUGCGUUGCAACCUGUACACUCCGCGGCAGCACAAGCGAGCCAUCGCCAGUUUUCCGUUUCUCUUUCAGUAUUCGAGGACUGUCAUCAAAACUAGUAUCGUGGUGGAAAGUGCCCUGUCUGGAUACUAACCUGAGCUAUAAACCUUGAUGCGUGCCAGCACCCUUUCAAAGUAAAGUGCGAAGGAGCGUCAAGGUUGUGUUCGUGCCAACAGUGUCGCACAGUGGAUGUCGGCCAAGUUUGGGCUCCAUGCUACGCGGCGGGACCAGGCGGGACUGGGAGUCGGAUGGCGGCAACGUCCCAGACUCCCGGUCCCGCUUGGCCCCGUUGGUAGCAUAGGGCCCUCGGUCCGAUAUUUGCACGUUGCCGUCUGAGCCUAGAGAAGCCAUUGGGAGUCGGACAAGUUGGGUUUGGCAAGGAGAGCCAAUGUAGACGAGAAGUACACACGCAGUAUUUAAUACAUGUCCCAAUUUCUUAUGUCGUGUCUCCCUAAUAGGGAUGUUGGAAAUGGCCCGGUGGGACGACCGAGACGGCACUGACCUCGAGGAGUGCAACGACCAGCCUUGGACUCCGAUCGGCGAGCUAGACGGGUGGCAGUCCGGGAGGCAGUCCGGGAGGCGACCGCAACGAAAGGACGGAUACCGGUGCCGCUCCGGCCCUUAUUCCAGUUUUUACGCGUUGGAGGUCGGGACACACGGAAGGACGGCAGAAAAGCCCCUCAGCUGCCCCGUCUGCCAGAAAACAUUUGGCCAGAACGUUCGCCUAAAGGUUCACAUGAGGAUUCACACGGGCGAAAAGCCGUACCGGUGCGACGUGUGCCAGAAAGCGUUUGCAGAAAGAACCGACCUGGUGCGUCAUAAGCGGGUUCACACGGGAGAGAAGCCCUACCAGUGCGUCGUGUGUGGCAAGGCGUUUGCGGUCCGAUGCAACUUGUUGAGUCACGAGAGAAGUCACGCAGGAGAGCGUUCCUAUAAAUGCGAGGCCUGCGAGAAGAUGUUUACGCAAAAAAUCUAUCUAAAAAAGCAUUGGAAGAGUACACACAUGUGAGGGAGAUGGGUUGCCCGCGUUAACAAUUUGUUUUUCUGGAAGUUUCUCGAAAUUUCACUGCCUGUCCAAUGUUUUAUUUGUAUAAGAAAAGCAUCGAUAGAAGCAAUAUUUUCACUGCCCAUCCCAUAUUUUUAUGCAAAGAAAGGCAGCAGUACCAACAAAUUUAGAGAUGAUUUGUAUAAUUUGUGAGCAUUAUCAGUUCUUGCAACUGCCCCUCCAAGUGUAACUGUAGAAUCACUUUUCUGGCACUUUUGUUUUCUAGCGGCACUCAUAAUCUUGCAUUAUGGCAUCCUGAAUGAUAGAAGAAAAAUCUUCCAAGAUGGCUAUUGGGAGCACUGUAUCAAUAUGAAAGGCCUGCUCAAGUUUUGCAAUUCUAUGUAUUUACUGUACUAAAAUAAAUUGCCUCGCACAUUACUCUAGCGAUGCCAUUAGUGUCCGGUGCUGUGCUGUUUAAGGCACUCCUCUUAUAUUUGAAACAAGGCUCGAGGUAUAAGGAAUGCUUAUAGCAUGCCAUUCCCCCAAAUUUUGCUUCCUAAAUUUUUGUCCCUUGAAAGCAGUGCCCUUGGAAGGCUCUUGACAUUGGGAAAGCUAUGAAUGAUACACCAGCAUUAGAUUUGAGCCAGUGUUCAAACGCCUUGGUACUUGCCCAAGCAUGGGAUAGCCGUGCAUGUGGGAUAGCCAUCCAUCUAAAAGUUGAAUUUUCUUUUCAGAGAAUCUCGGGAAGAAAAUAUUCACAAUAUUUACACUUUGAAACACGUUUUCAGCUGGGUGCGAUUCCAAAACCAACUUCUAUUUUCAGGUCAUCGUUUCGAAAUGUAAGUUCUUUACGGAAUCGCUCCUAUCACAAAAUGUGUAUUGCAACAUAAAUAAUGCGCAAAGUUUUUUUUUUUCUUUAUAUUCUCUGUGUCGGUUCUCUUUUUGUAAUGGUGAUCCCCCUUCUUAUAUUAGUAGCAGUUGUCCUUGCAGUUCCAUUAACCAGAACCAAUUUUGUGUCGGCAAAACCAGUGCGAUGCAGUUGUAUUGCCACGGUUGCUUUUACUUGGUGCUUGUAAGUACAAAACCCAAGGUGUUCAUUCCUCUACUUGGACAGCAUUCUUGGUGCUUCUGCCCUCAAGUAGUGUUUUGCAUUGAUUUCUUCCUGGUGCAGCGACGUUUUUGAGGAACAUGGCUAGAAUGGGACAGGUGUCAGACUAAUACUGUGUCCCUGCAAGGCCACAGAUGUCGCUGUAGUGCUACCACAUUUCCACACAUCUCUGACAAUGGACAAGACUGGAGCUCCUGCUUUGUCGCUUGCAACUGGAGCGCGGCGAAAUUUUGUAUAAAUUUAAAUGUGCCUGUCUAGUAUGCGUUGCCUCGAGCGGGGUCCUUUACAUUGAGAGUGCUUCACGCUUUGACCGUCCUUCUUUGCAGACUGGUAUCGACCGCUGUUUCGGUUCUGGGAUGGACGGACGUCGACUCCUUUACGGGGGCACGAAAGUCACCAAAUUAGCCGCUGAACAAGAUAACGUGGCGUCUAUGAUCUUAUGCACCAAAAUGGCCCAAGUGUCGUUACUCCGCAGUGUAGCGUAUUUAGUGGCUCUAAGCACCGCCUCGUGCUAAAAAAGACAAUGCAUUAGCUCACCUUAAGCUGGCCUAAUCCCUGCGUGUUGGCGUCCGAACCUAUGGUGGAUGACAGACUAAGAGCCCAGUAGGUACCCCACCUCCGGCGUGCGGUCGUUGCCUUUCGCCAGGUCUUGGCUGUGCGUGCGACAAAGCAUUAUCAAAGGCAGAAAGCCCGCGCUGGAGAUGGAGCUCCUACCGGGCUCCUAACCCGUUGCUAAUUAUAGCGGAACUUUGUUGGA